AGAUGCAAAUAGGCGCCCGGCCCGCUGACCCGGCGGGGGCCAAGAUCCGGGAAGGGAGGGACGCCUCCUCUCUUGGUGAUCGUGGCUGCCCGCGAGGAAAUGGGAGAGCCAAAGGCGCCCCGAAAGCCAAACAGGCGCACGCCCAUUUCUGGUUGCUUGAGGAGGAGAGGGAGCAGCUAAGAGCACCGGCGUCAAAAAGCGCUUUGCGCCAUUUUCUGCGGGGUCGUGGGUUUCCAGUGAUCGACCACGGUGGGUAGCCAACGUGGUGGGCUCCAGGUCCAAUAAUCAGUGGGGAUGGGAAGUGGAAUCCAAGAACAUCUGGAGGGCACCAGGUUGACUACUCCAAUCAGUUGCCUACCAUCUGUCAAUCACCUUUGGUUGUGUGCAAUCUAAUCAAUCAAUCAAUCAAUCAGCCUUCAGGAAAUUGUAUGGGUCUCUCUGUGUUCUUUCGGAAGGAAUAGGAGCAUCCCAAUAGUUAUCUGGACCAUUGUUUAAAGUAUGUUGGAGGUUGAAUCGUCGUAUUUUGAAACUUCUUAUUUUUUUAUAUGCCACGUUCCUUGCCACCCCGAGACUGAAGGCAGCAUAGACAUCAUCAAAAUAAAAUUUUGGUUAUGGUGCAAUGCUGUGGGUUUUUUGGGGUUGGGGUAGUAAACCUCUUAGAAGCUUGAUUACAAUCCGGCAGCUUAUAAAUGGAAGGGAAAUAUGUGUUUACUCAAAAGUAAGUCCCACUGUGCUCAGUGCAGUCUACACUCUAGUAAUGGUGUUUAGGAUUUCAAUCUUGUAACAACCUGUCUCAGAUUAUCUUAGCUAGAACAGCUCCCCUAACAAAGUACAGCUCCCAGAAUUCUCUGGGGGAAGCCAUAACUGUUUAAGUGGUGUCAUAGCGCUUUAAAUGUAUAUUAUGUAUACUGUAUGGUCAAAGUGAACACUGCUGGGCUUUCUUUCAGUCUCUAUAUUAACCAACUCCCAGAGUUCCACUUCUGCCAUGUAUCUGACAACCUUUAUGAACUCUGUACUCCAUUAUGCAGAUGGCCAAUAUAACAUGAGUAUCUGCACACUUGAGGCGUUUUAUUUCAAUGAAUCGCCCAGCUUGCUAGGGAGAAAAGAUAAAGGCCUGUGUCAAUAUUUGGAGUGGCAAGUCCACAGUUUAAAGAGCAAGCUGGCACAGAUGCUGCGCCAUGCACAAGUCACAUUUCAUGCAGCAAAGUCAAAAGGAGGGGAAAUGCAGUAGGUAGAAAGAUGCAAGUAGGCAAAGGAUAGAACAUAUUUGAACUGGUUUGAGAAGCAUUAUGGAUGAAAUGUGUAUUUGGGUGAAGGGACAAAAGCCAGGGACACCUGGCUUACUAAUAUAGUAGACGUGAAAAGGAUUUAGGGGUCUUGGUGGACCACAAGCUUCACAUGAGUUAAGAGUAUGAUGCAGCAACAGCAAAAAGAAAGAAAGAAAUAGCUACGUAAUGCUAUUCUAGGCUGCAUCAACAAAACUAUAGUGUCCAGAUCAAGGGAAGUCUAUUCUGCCUUGGCCAGACCACAUCUGGAAUACUACAUCCAGUUCUGGGCACCACAAUUUAAGAAGGAUGUUGACAAGCUGGAACAUGUAAAGAGGGGGGCAACCAAGAUGAUCAAGGGUCUGGAAAACAGACCUGAUGAGGAACAGCUGAAGGAGCUAGAUGUGUUUGGUUUGGAAAAGAGGAGACUGGGAGAAGAUAUGAUAGCUUCAGUGGACCCACCACUUAUUACCACCAAUUAAUAAUGUGGCAGAUCCACUCCCACUAACUGCCCCCAAUUAAAUAUAGUGCACCCACCUUACGGUACCCCAGUUAAACACAUUUCUACAAUUUACCACAGAUUAUCUAGUGGGGGACUUGUGUGAGGGAAAACUUAAUGAUUUAGAGUCUCAAGAAGGAGUUGAUCAAACUAAAAAGAAAAGCUUUAUUAAACAAAAAGAAGUUUAUGAAACGAAGCGAGUCAAGAAAUGCAUUCUUUCAGGUAGAAGUUAACUUAUUUACUUUAAGUAACUAUGAGAUGACUCAGUCUUAAACACGAUACUAUAGGAACAACUCUUCUUAAACUUCAGUUACAAAAAAAAAAUCAGGUGUUACAUUUCAGGUGAUAAAUAUCCAGGUUUCUAGAAUAGUUGGUAAAAUGCUCGACUCAGUUUAAUUAUAAAAGUAUUUACAAUUAAAUACUUUUGACACCAUCCCGCUUCCUUUAUAGCUUAAUACUUUGGUUCACUUCUCCUCAGUUACCCACUCUUUUAACAAUCCCACACCUGAGGUAUUCUCAGACCCAGGGGGAUCACCUCACCCCUUGGUCUAGGAGUCCUCAGUACCUAGAAGAACUCUCCCCACCUGGCUAUACUGACACCCAUGUAGCCUGCAUUCCCACAAUAUCUACCUCUCCCGAUCCACUCACAGCCUUCCCAGGACACUCCUGUCUCUAUACCUUUCCCAGACCCUCAACCAGGUCUCCCUAUCCAAGCUGCAAGGCUCUGUCCUCUCGCUAUGGAUAGUCUCCUCAGUGUGUAAGUUGAACUUCACUCAGAACCAGUUCUCCUUAUCUCAUUCCCUAAUUCCCAACUCCAAGCAAACCAUAUUUCUUAACCUGAACCUUUGCCCCUUCUCAAAACCUAUCUAACCUUCUCCCUCAGAAACUGCUCAUUUUAUUAUUCACCCCCCAAAGUGACUCUGCAGCCGCUGGUGGAGUUUCAGAGGAACUGCAUCACCAGACUCUGCUGUCCAUCACAAAGCCAUCUUCAAAUAUCUAAAAGGCUGUCACGUGGAAGAUGGAACGAGCUUGUUUUCUCCUGAUCUGGAGUUGCCAGAGAGGAGAUUCUGACUAAACAUUGGGAAGAACUUUUCUGACAGUGACAGCUGUUGUGACAAGAGGUGGUGGACUCUCCUUCCUUGGAGGUUUCUAAGCAGAGGCCCCUUUGUUGUCUUUCAAUGGCAUCGCUGGCAAGUGGACAAUAUAUCUAAGCAGCGGGAAUCAUCGCUUCCAUGGGAAAGGGCAGCAACUUUCCCCUGGUGACCCCAUGGCUUCUCUAGCUAUCCGCCGCUGUGUAACCCAACAGAAGGCAACUCAACGUGGCCCAUGAAAUAUGUGCUGAGGCCUCUUCAAACCUGGAGCUGGUCCGGCAUUUGCUCAUUGUCCAACCUGGUGCAGAGCUUUGGUUUGCUCGCUUUAUGGUGACUUUUGCAGUGGAACCUAAUACAAAAGGUUGACGUGACUGCAGUUUUGGGGCUUUUACAUAUUUAGGGGGUGAAGAUUGUGUCUAUAUGAGUAUUGCCAGAGUUUUAAGGUCAGUAUAGGGAUGAAUGAAUCUGUCAGUUCAGCGUCUCAUUUUUCCAAUCUUAAAUUCAUGGCUCCUCAUUUCUGUAGCAAGGAGAAAUCAAAAGGAAAAUUUUACACCACUGUAAAAUUCAUCAGCACCUUAGUGCAAAUUUCUCCCACUUUUGGCAUGCAUUUUGACAAAUAUACGCAAUUUUUGGUUAGCAUGUCCCCCUAAUAUAAUGCAUUUUUGUGUGUUUGUUUCACUGAUGUGUGCAUUUGUAGGCCUGCUUUCCCCUAAUACUGUAUAUACAUUUUUGCACACAUUAUUUGGCAGGAGAACUGCAUUGCAACAUUCUGAGAAGUGCAAAUUUUGAAGCAUAAUUGCGCUUCAGUCAAGCAUCAGUUGCAAACAAAAUCAGAUUUCAAUCCCAUCCUUGGCGAGUCUCUCUUUCUUAUUUUUGUACCUAUUAUUUUUAACACUAGGCUAAACUCCUGUCAGCUUGUCAAUACCAGGGAGCCUAUUCAGCUGGAAGCGAACUGUCGCAGCUCGCCUUGCAGGUGACAAAUCCCCCAGCACAGCACCAGAUAAGGCAGAUUGCGACCUGACUUCCCAAUCUGAGCCUCUCCGGUUGGUGACAGCCUGACAUCACCCAGCAGUAUGGCAGCAGCUGAUGGGGAAGCGGAAAAAAACGAGACCCGCUCACUGUUAAAUAAAACAUCACCAGUUGAAAAUGAAGGUCUGCUUAAUGAGCUCGAAGGAGGUGGAGAAGCAUUUAACAGCCCAGAAGGCCUCCUGCUGUUCUGCCAUAUGGUUUCAAAAGGCACAUAUCCUCUCAUAUCUCUGUGCCUGCUCCAAGAAACGUAGCUGUCUAAAAGAACCAGAAGAGUGUGAAAUAAUCCUAUUUUAACCCAUCAAGCAGCUUGGCGUGGCAUACAAUGUUCUUCCCUCCUGCUUUCUUUUAUCUUCACAACGACCCUGUGAGGUAGCGCAGGCUGAGAGAGAGAAUUAGCCCAGUGGGCUUUGUGGCUAAACAAAAGAUCUGAACUCUGCUCUCUUCACUUCUAUCCCCCCCCCCUUCUCAUCUGUUUCAGCAAUGGUUCCCAGGCUUCUUUUUGGCACAGUAACCCACAAGUCUGAAAUUACUUGGGAUGGAGACCUGCUAAUUUAUUGUCACAUUAAUUUUGGAAGCGCACAUAGAAUCAUAGUUGGAACCAAGUACCAAUUUGGCUUUACCCCUCUCAGAACACCUUUAGGUCCUGGUCAUUAUUGAACAGAAUUAAAGGAUAUUCCGGAUUAUCGGAGUUGCUUUAUAUUUCUCUCCCCUGUUCCAUUUUCUUUUUUGUCUGAUGCUGCUUAAAGAGCAACCCUAGGCACAAGUGUAAAGCCAGGGCAAGUUAAGCCAUGGUAAAGUUAGGUAAAGGGACCCCUGACCAUUAGGUCCAGUCGUGACCGACUCUGGGGUUGCGCGCUCAUCUCGCAUUAUUGGCCGAGGGAGCCGGCGUAUAGCUUCCAGGUCAUGUGGCCAGCAUGACAAAGCCGCUUCUGGCAAACCAGAGCAGCACAUGGAAACGCCGUUUACCUUCCCGCUGUAGCGGUUCCUAUUUAUCUACUUGCAUUUUGACGUGCUUUCGAACUGCUAGGUUGGCAGGAGCUGGGACCAAGCAACGGGAGCUCACCCCGUCACAGGGAUUCGAACCGCCGACCUUCUGAUCAGCAAGCCCUAGGCUCAGUGGUUUAACCACAGCGCCACCUGGGUCCCUAUAAUGGUAAAGUUACCCCAGAUCAAAUCUCCAUUUGGCAGCUUGGCUGCAGUGGCGUAGCAAGGUCAGGUGGUACCCGGUGCGAAAAAGUUCUUUUCACUCCCCCCCUCCCCAGACACAUUGAAAUCUAGUUGGACUCCCAAGAGACUGUGAUUUACUUACAGUAUAAAAAUACUGGCUGUGAUCUACCCAUUGUCACUGCCAGGAGUUGUUGGGCUUUUUUAAGGAAAGGAUUGACAAAAGUUCUUGAGCUUUUUUUAGGGGAGGGUUGUCCAAAGUUGUUGAGAUAUUUUUUAGGGGAGGGUUGGCCAAAGUUGUUGAGCUUUUUGGGGGGUGACAGGGUUUGGGUUCUGACUUGAGGGAGCUUCUGCUUCUCUCCUUCUCUCCACCCUCCUCUUGUUUGCUCGCCAGCCUCCUUCCCAUCAUCUCCCUGUCUCCCUGCACACCUCCUCCAGCAGCCCAGGAGCGUGGGACUAUCAAAACGAAGGGUUAAGGCCGCCGGCAGAGCAGCACAACUCCCCCCCCCUCCCCUGAUGGCCCGGGGUAGGUGGGAGUUGCGGGCGGGUGGCGAACCGAAUGUCAACCCCCUCCGUGAUGACACCCGGUGUGGUCCGCCCCGCUUGGCUGUUGCUGCUGCUCCGUCUAACCCUGGCAAAGGGGGGGGGAGCCUUUACAGGAGUGUUCUGUGCUAGAUUGUGGUGUCAUGUGACCAAACUAAAUGGGUUUAAGAGCCCACCCUAGGACUGUCCCUUCUGAGGGAUUUACACUGGCUGUCCUGUUUGUGGGUUUUCCACAAGCAACUGAAAGGCUUGUCCUCUUUACGUCCUUAUGGUAAACUUCUCAUCCUAGCAGUUCUUGCCAUAGGAUUACCCUCACAGAUUGUUAAGAGCUGGGCUUUUUUCUCAGGGGGAACUCACCGGAACUCCGUUCCGGCCCCUCUCAGGUGGGUGCCAUUGCCAUUCUAAGAGAAAGAGGGAGGCGUUUAUGGUGAGUUCCGGCAUCUCUUUUUCCUUGAAUGCCUUGGAUGAAAAGCAGCACAUAAAUGUGGUAGAUAAUUAAUAGGAGAAUAAAUAAAUAUCUGACUUCAUUUUAACUUGAUAGUGUGGUGUGUUUAGGUUCAGAUGAUUUGAAAUAUAAAUGGAAUCUGCAUGCAACACCCAGAGGUCACACUAGAGGGUGCAAAGAGUCUACUGUAAGUCUAGAAUACUGCCUAACUAGCUUCCAGCAAGGGAAAUACUUUCCCAUGCGAAUACAGUGGUACCUCGGUUUAUGAACACAAUUGGUUCCGGAAGUCUGUUCAUAAACUGAAGCGUCCAAAAACUGAAGCGAACUUUCCCAUUGAAAGUAAUGGAAAGUGGAUUAAUCCGUUCCAGACGGGUCCGCGGAGUACUCAACCUGAAGCAUACUUAACCCGAAGCAUGGGUGUAAUUGGUUCCGGAAGUCUGUUCAUAAACUGAAGCGUUCAUAAACUGAAGUGAACUUUCCCAUUGAAAGUAAUGGAAAGUGAAUUAAUCCGUUCCAGACGGGUCCGCGGCGUUCGUAAACCGAAAAUUCGUAAACCGAGGUGUUCAUAAACCAAGGUUCCACUGUAAAUAAAUGAGCAGAUUUCACAAAAUUGCUGUUUCCAAGUGCAGGGUUUAGAUAAUAUGGAGGAUCACUUGCUUUGCAAUUAAUGACACUUCAAACUAAAUAGAACCCAAACUUUUGUUUUUAUUUAACCAAAGGCUUCAGUGCAUUUUUUAUUCUGGCUGGUUUGUAUUAGAUUAGGAGCAAAGCAAGUCCAAAGAAACCACAGACUUCAUUGAUCAGCAGAUCAGAAUCAAGCUGCGGCUAAAAGAUCUGGGCUAAGGCUUAUGCCUGUGAAGAUGUUCAUCCAAUGCUCAUCUACCCUAUUUAAAUAAAUAGUCCAUGCGUCCUCCUCAAGGUAGAUAGCUAAGAAACAACAAAACUCUAGCGGAGAUUAUUAUGUUAAAAUGCAAUGCACCUUAACACACCAUGACAUUUUAGUAAUCAUAGGAGUUGUGUGCCUGCCUCUUCCAUUUUCCUCAUCCAUUAUUUUUGUGUGUUGACUGGGACUGAUGGGUCCAACAACAUCUAGAAGACCACAAGUUCCCCGCCCCACUGUAAGGGAAACCAGUAUUCUUAUCCCCAUGUUAUAGAUAGGGGUCAGAGGCUGAGAAACAGGCUUACCUCAGGCAACUCACUCUGUUCAUGGCAAAGAUAAAUAUUUCAUACAUACAUUUCAUACACCCCAGGUCUCCGUAUGGGAGCUGGAUAAGGGCUGAUCUUGUGUGGCUCAUGUUCAUUUCAGUUAAGAUUCCACAGAUAGUUUGUGCCCAGUAGGUCAGAACUAUUGCUAAUCUCCAUGACACCCAAAUUCUGCCACCUGAAGCAGCUGUCUUAUCAUGUCUCAUAGUAGGGCCAGCCAUAAGAGCCCUUUAGAUAUCUGGUUCAGGCAUGCAUGCCCCAAACAACCCAUGUAUCAUUCCUAACCAUGGUAGGGUUCGGUGAUGGUAUCAGCGUAGCUAAUUUGUAACCAAACAUGAUGAAUAGAAGCUCCUUUAGUCUAUCUUACACUCUAUAAGACCCCAUGACUUGUCAGUGUUUUUUGGGAGGGAUUCUAGCACAUACUGGGAAAUUUAGGUUAAAGUGCCCUAGCACAACAAAUUCACUUUAAAAGGGAAGUGGACUGUUUGCGGUUAGGAAAGUGAUGGGGAAAUGCAUUGAAAAGUGUGAUAUGAACAAAUGAUUAAAAGGAAGAUAUAUAAACACCCUACAAGUAAAUCAGGAUGAAUGCUCAUUUGUCAUAUAACCUCCCUACAAACAACUCAGAACAAAUGCGCAAUGAAAACCAGAUAGAAUCUAACUGUUUCAUGAGCUUUUUGCAAACAGAUUUCGACAGUUAUUCAAUGAACAGGUUGCCUGGUCUGGAGGAGUGGUCUAGUCUCCCAUCUCCCAAGAAAGAAGCAAAUGCAGUUCACAAAUUGAGACCUUUGUUGAGGAAAUGUUAGAAAUGUGAGGAAGAAAGCCAACUCUUUGAAGUCAUGUCAAUUUUGCAAAAAACUUGCAUCCGCUUCCUUCUGUAACACCAGCAUCCUAAGUCAAGAUCUGUGUUUAAGGUAAAGAAAGGUAAAGGGGCCCCUGACCAUCAGGUCCAGUCAUGUCCGACUCUGGGGUUGCGGCGCUCAUCUUGCUCUAUAGGCCGAGGGAGCCGGCGUUUGUCCGCAGACAGCUUCUGGGUCAUGUGGCCAGCAUGACAAAGCUGCUUCUGGCGAACCAGAGCAGCGCACGGAAAUGCCGUUUACCUUCCCGCCGGAGCGGUCCCUAUUUAUCUACUUGCACUUUGAUGUGCUUUCGAACUGCUGUUACUUUUCAUCAAAUAGAGGCAUCAUAGCCCAGUUCAAAUGAUGGGAUAUGAAUAAGAACAACUCGGAGAACAAAGCACCUGGCGCUGACACUUUAGGGAUUUCCUCUUGGCCCUCAGUAACUUCUCAGGAAAUUGCUACAGAAGCAGACUUUUAAUAACAUCCAUCCAGCAAAGCAACCCUUCUGCAGGAUAAAUUUCUAUUCCUUCCUUUUUCUUACAGACUGCGCCAUGAGUCAACAAAGGGGGCUUUAACAACCUUUGAGUGGAGUCGAACAUGCAAGUAUCUUCAUGACUAUUAGGAAGAAAGACCAUUUGUUUCCAUAUGAACAUAUUGGUUUGAAGAACGCUAUUGCAUGGCUUGGCACCAAGUGUUUGACAGCCUGUGCAUAAAAGGCUAUUUGUCCUUGUCAGGGACGUAAGGAUCCUCUGGAGCAGGCUUCCUCAACCUCGGCCCUCCAGAUGUUUUUGGCCUACAACUCCCAUGAUCCCUAGCUAGCAGGACCAGUGGUCGGGGAUGAUGGGAAUUGUAGUCUCAAAACACCUGGAGGGCCGAGGUUGAGGAAGCCUGCUCUGGACCCACAGUUCUCUUUUCUACACUCUGAUGAUGAUGAUGCUCCUUCCCUGUUUAAGUGCAGAGCAGCCAUUGAUAUUUCACAGUCUGGGAAACAAACAUGAACACGCAGAGCAGGGGCUUUUGGGGAGGGCUACAAUUCAGUGGUAACACCUUGCAUGUUUUUCCAUCCUGUUGCUCCAAUUGAAAGAAUCAGAUAGUAUGUAGUGAAAAAAAUCCCCAGACCUGAGACUCUAGACAAGACUGAUCUAACUCACAGGUGACCAACUUGCGCCCCGCAGGGCCAUGUUGAGGCCCUUGGUGCCACCAGAGUGCCUUUCUUUCUGCUCAUUUCCUCCCUGUUUUUUCUGUUAAUGUAGUUUAAGACUACAUAAGGGGCAUUUUAACACCCACUCCCAUUUUAUGGAUUGGAGAAAAGAAGCUGCCUGAGAACAAAUUGCAAUGUAAAAGGUUGUGUAUAAAUGUGAGUAGCGCACUAAAGUCAGGAAGAAAUUACUUUCACUGACUUUCUAUAACAAUAGCUGCAUUGGUCUGAUGUAUCUACAUUAUUUUAAAUCUGCUGCAUACUUUUUUAAAAGAAUAACCCCACCAAACCCAGCAGGGUUUACCUCUGAAGACAGCCAUAGAGGAUUGGAUAUUCUAAUAUGUGGGAGACAUGACAAAAAUUGAAACAGGUGAAUCUUUUUUUCUGGAUUAGUUAAUCUAGAACACUUGUCUCUGGCUCCACCCAUUGCCAUCAAACAACAAAAGGUUGCCCCCUCCUGGUCUAGCUGGACAAUUAUUCUGACGUAGUAUAAAACAUAUUCCUAUGCACUACUCUGUAUUUCGCAAUUGAUUGUUUAUAUUUUGACAUUUCAAUGAUGGCUUUAAAGGAGGGGGGGAAAUGGCUUAGGCAGCAAGGUGGAUGUGUGGGUUUCUCAAAAAUGGGUAUUCGGAAGAUACCAGCAGGUCAGUUUUAUCCAAAGCAAAAGCCAAAUUGUCUAGCCCAUAGUCCUUCCCCCACUGCAGAUUCCUGAUGCUGUUUAGACUGCUCUGGCUAAAGGUAGAAAAACAGGUACUCUUCAAGAUCCGCUAAC